rnacentral:rRNA from 1 species
GAUGAACGCUGGCGGCAUGCCUAAUACAUGCAAGUCGAACGAAGGAUCCCUUCGGGGGUCUUUAGUGGCGAACGGGUGAGUAAGACGUAAGGAACCUGCCCCUAUGCCUGGGAUAACUCUGGGAAACGAGAGCUAAUACCGGAUAGGUGAACGGAAGACAUCUUCGGUUCAUGAAAGAUGGGGAACAUCACAGAGGGAUGGCCUUACGGCGCAUUAGCUAGUUGGAGAGGUAGAGGCUCACCAAGGCGAUGAUGCGUAGCCGGCCUGAGAGGGUGAACGGCCACAUUGGGACUGAGACACGGCCCAGACUCCUACGGGAGGCAGCAGUAGGGAAUUUUCGGCAAUGGGCGAAAGCCUGACCGAGCAAUGCCGCGUGAGUGAAGAAGGCCUUCGGGUUGUAAAGCUCUGUUGUAAAGGAAGAACGGAUGGCAUAGGGAAUGAUGCCAUUGUGACGGUACUUUACGAGGAAGUCACGGCUAACUACGUGCCAGCAGCCGCGGUAAUACGUAGGUGGCGAGCGUUAUCCGGAAUUAUUGGGCGUAAAGGGUGCGCAGGCGGCAAGAAAAGCUUAAGGUGAAAGCGUGGGGCUCAACCCCAUAAAGCCUUAGGAACUAGCUUGCUAGAGUGCAGGAGAGGGCGAUGGAAUUCCAUGUGUAGCGGUAAAAUGCGUAGAUAUAUGGAGGAACACCAGUGGCGAAGGCGGUCGCCUGGCCUGUAACUGACGCUGAGGCACGAAAGCGUGGGGAGCAAAUAGGAUUAGAUACCCUAGUAGUCCACGCUGUAAACGAUGGAUACUAAGUGUUGGGGAAACUCAGUGCUGCAGUUAACGCAAUAAGUAUCCCGCCUGGGGAGUAUGCACGCAAGUGUGAAACUCAAAGGAAUUGACGGGGGCCCGCACAAGCGGUGGAGUAUGUGGUUUAAUUCGACGCAACGCGAAAAACCUUACCAGGCCUUGACAUCCCUUGCGAAGCUUUAGAGAUAGAGUGGAGGAUAUCAAGGAGACAGGUGGUGCAUGGUUGUCGUCAGCUCGUGUCGUGAGAUGUUGGGUUAAGUCCCGCAACGAGCGCAACCCUUGUCUUUAGUUACCAUCAAGUAAAGUUGGGGACUCUAAAGAGACUGCCGGUGAUAAACCGGAGGAAGGUGGGGAUGACGUCAAAUCAUCAUGCCCCUUAUGGCCUGGGCUACACACGUACUACAAUGGCGCAUACAGACGGAAGCGAAGGAGCGAUCUGAAGCAAAACCGAGAAAGUGCGUCACAGUUCGGAUUGAAGUCUGCAACUCGACUUCAUGAAGCCGGAAUCGCUAGUAAUCGCAGAUCAGCAUGCUGCGGUGAAUACGUUCUCGGGCCUUGUACACACCGCCCGUCAAACCAUGAGAGUUGGCAAUACCCGAAGCCGGUGGCCUAACCUAGCAAUAGGAGGGAGCCGUCGAAGGUAGGGCUGAUGAUUGGGGUUAAGUCGUAACAAGGUAUCCCUACGAGAACGUGGGGAUGGAUCACCUCCUUUCUAAGGAGAAAGAAGAAGAGAGUGAGGAGUUUCUGUUUAGUUUUGAGAGGUCAAGGGACCUUUCGAAGGUGGAAUCGUUCUUUGAAAACCGAAUAACAGAAGAAAGACAGAAAGGUGUCUUUCUGGAAAGUUGAAAACUAGAUUUCAAAGGAAACAAGUUGAAAGACAGUUCAAGAGUAAGCGAAAACAGAAAGCAGAUUAAAAGAAGAAGGGCGUACGGUGGAUGCCUAGGCAUUGAGAGCGAGAAGAAGGACGCAGCAAACGGCGAAACGCUUCGGGGAGUGGUAAGCACACAACGAUCCGGAGGUCUCCGAAUGGGGAAACCCGUCACCUGUAAUGGGGUGACACACAUAAAUGAAUUCAUAGUUUAUGAUGAGGCAACGUAGGGAAUUGAAACAUCUUAGUACCUACAGGAGAAGAAAAUAAGAAUGAUUCCCUGAGUAGUGGCGAGCGAAAAGGGAGGAGCCCAAACCGGCUAAGAGCCGGGGUUGAAGGACCGCAAGAAGCGAAGAAGGACGAUAGACGAAUGGCAUUGAAAGGCCAGCCAAAGGAGGUGCAAGCCCUGUAGUCGAAAUCGAAGAGAUAGCGAGCGAGAUCCUGAGUACGGCGAGGCACGUGGAACCUUGUCGGAAGCAGCCAGGACCAUCUGGCAAGGCUAAAUACUCCUCAAUGACCGAUAGUGAACC